AUAGACGCUGCAUCGAGACGGUUCCAUACAAGCUGCACCAGACUUGUGUGGAACCGUCGUCGAUGGAAAAAAUAAUU